UGAGUACCGUGAGGGAAGGGUGGAAAGUACCCCGGGAGGGGAGUGAAAUAGUACCUGAAACCGUGUGCCUACAAUCCGUCAGAGCCCGGCUGCCACUUGUGGUGUUGGGGUGAUGGCGUGCCUUUUGAAGAAUGAGCCUGCGAGUUAGUGAUAUGUGGCGAGGUUAACCCGUGAGGGGCAGCCGUAGCGAAAGCGAGUCUUAAUAGGGCGACUAAGUUUGUUGGAUUAGACCCGAAACCG
rnacentral:rRNA from 1 species